AAGUCGUAACAAGGUAACCGUAGGUGAACCUGCGGUUGGAUCAUUAACAAAAACUUAAUGAAUCUGAGCCUCUCCGUACCUUUCGAGGACUUUACGGUCCGAGGAGGGGAAAGAGGGUUCAAACACCCCAAACCUGUGAACUGUUUUACUGUGUAUCCAUUGUCUCUCUUACCCUUAGGGGUUAGAGGCUCUAAGGAGGCAUCAGUGUAUGUGGCGAGAGGAAGCAAUUCAGCUCGCCUGUACAUAAAGUGUCGCCCUUAAGGUCUCUCUCCCCAUCACGGGGGUUAGAGCAAGGCAUUGGACCCCUACAAACAAACAUUCUUAUAAACAAGUGACUUUUUUUAAAGCUUGAAGAAAGUCUUCUUUUUCCUUCGGGGAAAUGAGAUAACCUAAAAGUAUAAAAGAAAACAACUUUUGACAACGGAUCUCUUGGCUCUC
rnacentral:misc_RNA from 1 species